ensembl:lincRNA
CGGGAGGAAGCCUGGAGAAGGCGCAGCGCAUCCCACCCCAACCUCUGCUUUGUCCUGAGCGGCGCUGGGGUUGGGCCCAUUGGGCAGCAUUGCACCCCCUUGCCCAGCAAGUCCCUAUUUGCAGAACCAGGGGCUGGGAUAAUGGAGCUCAGGGUCCUGCACACUUCGCAUCCUCCAGGUUUUGUGUAUCACGUUGAUCAUAAAACAUCACCCAGAGGUUGUCGUUCGCUGCCUGAGCCAGGCAUCUGUGUUUCUGUUUUCAGGAGGCAUUGGAGCCACGGACAUCAUCUGGAAACCAGGGAACGGGGUGACCCUUCCUGCUCUCCUCUCAGAUCCACUCACUCUUCUUGCACAGCUGGACAGGGUCUGUCCGUCAGCAGUGGACAGGAAGCCAUGUGUGAAUUAGUUCCUGAGCUGGGGAGGAAGCAGUGGACAAGCUCAUGGAAGACACAGAGGUCUCCUCACUGCAGUGCCCAUGACGGGGUGUGGUGCGUGCCCAAUGCAGCUUCCACGAGGACAAGGGCCAGAGUGCGGAGGAACUACGCUGGCUGUGACUUUCACGUCGCAGUCUUAGGUGAGCAGGCGGUGAGGGGUCCGUCUUCCUCUCUGAGCAUCCAGAGGGACUCACACACUUCGUGCAGCCAUUUUGAACCUGCAGACAGGAUGUGAGGCUGGAGAGAGGCUGAAUGGAUGGGCACCUUGGCUUCCUGCACCCGCUGCCCUGCAGCCUUGAAAGUCUCCAAAGUGCCUAAAACAGUGUGUUGGAUCGGCCCUGCGGUCAGGGAACGGGGUUCCUCCUUACUGCAUCAGCUGUCUUCACUGGGGGCGGGAGUCCCAGGACGGCGAGGAGAGCGGGUCCGAGCACGUGGAGCGGCAUGUCGGGAGGUGUGGAGCGGUCCCAGAGCAGGGCGGACGGCUGCAGUUCAGGCCAGCGGGCAGGCUGGCGAGAUGGCCCCCUCACCCUGGAUUUGGAAGCAGAAAGGAUCUGAAACCGCGCUGGCCCAAGGCCUCCCGUGGGCUUGGCUGGGCUCUAGAGACUCGAGUGCACUUUGUUCUUCCUUUUCUGCUGGGUUCCCCUCAUCUUCAGGUGACUGACCUGCAGAGUGGGCAGUGGCCCAGGAUCCCCAGAGAUGCCCUCCGCAGGGAGGGAUGAGCUGACCACUGGUCUGGGAGGUGAUCUUCUUUGUUAAAAGUAGUUCACCAUUUCUGUGCUGCUUUGUAGACAAUGGAGAGAAGCAAGUAAUCUGUUGUAAAUGAUUUCCAGCUGGGCUGUUUUCCAGUUCCUGUUGGUUUGUCCCUGGUUCACAGAGCCCCUCAGGCCUGCAGUGUUGGGGUCCGGGGAGGCUGGUGCUCCUGUGGGGGGGGGCUGCUGUGCACAGACUCAGGCGUGACCCUGGCUGGUGUCUGCGGGGGGGACACAGUCACAUGUCCUGGGCAGGCCGGCGGACGCUUUCCCAGCAGGUCUGGCCCUCCGUGCGCCUCCCCUCGUCAUUCUAGGCCGACUCGCCUCCCUCUGGGCCCUGAAGCCCUCUCUGCUGUGUGCUCUUGUCUACCGGGACCAAGCAGUUGCCUUCCUGAGACUUCUCCUGGGAAGCCACCGGCAGAGCAGAGCUUUGCCCAUUCAGGUGUGAAGGGUGUGUCUCACCCUGUGAGCCGGGGUUUCUGCACACCCGUGACAGUCGUUACUGACUUUCCCGGAGUCUGACUGUGACCUCCCAAAGAAGGGAAAACACCUGCCUGCCUCGAAACAUGCUGGCCAGGAGCAUUGUCAGGAACAGGUGGGGCAGAGGGCGAAUGGCUGCCGGUGGGUGUUCGUCUCAUGCCUACCUCGUGGGCGGAUCGUGCAUUUGCAAAGGCCACACCCCCAGCGACCUUCCCCUAACCAGGCCCCACCUCCCGGCAGCAAGUCCGCUCUGAACUCCACACGGGUGGGCACAGAGUCUGUGACCGAGUCACCGCCCAAUCCCCUCUGGACUCAUGAGCUUUGGGGGCGCUCUGGAUCCAAACCUUCGUGUCCCGGUUUCCCCAUGGGCAGCAGCGGUCUUAGGGUGGGGUGAGAAGAAAGGCGCCGCUAAGGAUCGAGGUGGGACCACAUGCGGACUGAGCAGAGCAAACACCGAGGGGAACUCCAAACCGGAAGUGCAGGAGACCAGCACGGGACUGUCCCGGAAGUGGCGGGGGCGGUGGGCGGAGCCCAGCCCGGGGCUGUGUCCUGGUCUCCAUUCUGUCCUUGGUCUGAGCCUUGGGUCCCGCGGGCUGGAAGCAGGGGGAGCAGCAGUGUCCUUCGUGGGGACGGGGAGGAGCCCCAGGGGAGACGCGUGGCCACCGACCACCACUUCCCGGGGAAAGCGACCCAGCAGGAGGAGCAAAGAGCACUUUGUGGGGAGACGCGGAAGAGGCCGAGGAGCGGUUGCUCAUGAAAUAAAGGUUAGGAGCUCUAAAAAAAAAAAAAAUCCAAACGAAAGUAAAGAAACUCAAAAAUAGAAAAGGAGCAACAUCAGCCAUGGCCCUGCGCACCUGAGUGUGUGCCCCCCACUGUGCGCUGUGCUCUGUGCCUCCUCUGCUGCCGGUGCCACCUGCACCCAGAACUCUGCUCAUGAACCCCCAUCCUGUCUCCGCAAGUCCCAUGUCCCACGCCGACGCA